rnacentral:rRNA from 1 species
CGUGUAGGCGGUUUGGCAAGUCAGAUGUGAAAGCCCCGGGCUUAACCUGGGAAGUGCAUUUGAAACUGCCAUACUUGAGUAUGGGAGAGGAGAGUGGAAUUCCCAGUGUAGAGGUGAAAUUCGUAGAUAUUGGGAGGAACACCCGUGGCGAAGGCGACUCUCUGGACCAAUACUGACGCUGAGACGCGAAAGCGUGGAGAGCAAACA